rnacentral:rRNA from 1 species
ACGGAGGAUGCGAGCGUUAUCCGGAAUUAUUGGGCGUAAAGCGUCCGUAGGUGGUUUUGCAAGUCUGCCGUUAAAGAAUGGAGCUCAACUCCAUAAAGGCGGUGGAAACUGUGAGACUAGAGUACAGUAGGGGUAGCAGGAAUUCCCAGUGUAGCGGUGAAAUGCGUAGAUAUUGGGAAGAACAUCGGUGGCGAAAGCGUGCUACUGGGCUGAAACUGACACUGAGGGACGAAAGCUAGGGUAGCGAAAGGG